GUGAACGCUGGCGGUAGGCCUAACACAUGCAAGUCGAACGGCAGCACAGGAGAGCUUGCUCUCUGGGUGGCGAGUGGCGGCCGGGUGAGGAAUACAUCGGAAUCUGCCCAGUCGUGGGGGAUAACGUAGGGAAACUUACGCUAAUACCGCAUACGACCUUCGGGUGAAAGAGGGGGAUCGCAAGACCUCUCGCGAUUGGAUGAGCCGAUGUCGGAUUAGCUAGUUGGCGGGGUAAUGGCCCACCAAGGCGACGAUCCGUAGCUGGUCUGAGAGGAUGAUCAGCCACACUGGAACUGAGACACGGUCCAGACUCCUACGGGAGGCAGCAGUGGGGAAUAUUGGACAAUGGGCGCAAGCCUGAUCCAGCCAUACCGCGUGGGUGAAGAAGGCCUUCGGGUUGUAAAGCCCUUUUGUUGGGAAAGAAAUCUUUCAGGCUAAUAUCCUGGGAGGAUGACGGUACCCAAAGAAUAAGCACCGGCUAACUUCGUG
rnacentral:rRNA from 1 species